GAUUGGGAUAACCUUCCGAAAGGAGGGCUAAUACCGGAUGUGGUGGUUCGUCGCAUGACGGAUUGACUAAAGGUAGGGACCGCAAGGCCUGCCACUUGGAGAGGAGCCCGCGUCCCAUCAGCUAGUUGGUGAGGUAACGGCCCACCAAGGCUUACGGGUAGCUGGUCUGAGAGGAUGGUCAGCCACACUGGGACUGAGACACUGCCCAGACUCCUACGGGAGGCUGCAGUCGAGGAUCUUUUGCAAUGGGCGAAAGCCUGACAAAGCGACGCUGCGUGGAGGAUGAAGGCCUUCGGGUUGUAAACUCCUGUCAUCUGGGAAAAACAAUUGCCUGGGUAAUACUCAGGCGACCUGAUGGUACCAGAAGAGGAAGCCACGGCUAACUCUGUGCCAGCAGCCGCGGUAAUACAGAGGCGGCAAGCGUUGUUCGGAUUUACUGGGCGUAAAGGGUGCGUAGGUGGUGCGGUGUGUCGGGCGUGAAAUCCCACGGCUCAACUGUGGAGCGCCGUCCGAAACUACCGCGCUAGAGUGCAGAAGAGGAGAGCGGAAUUCUUGGUGUAGCGGUGAAAUGCGUUGAUAUCAAGAAGAACGCCGGCGGCGAAGGCGGCUCUCUGGGAUGCAACUGACACUGAGGCACGAAAGCUGGGGGAGCAAACAGGAUUAGAUACCCUGGUAGUCCCAGCCUUAAACGGUGUGAACUUGGUGUGGGGAGAAUUGACCCUCUCCGUACCGUAGCUAACGCGUUAAGUUCACCGCCUGGGGAGUACGGUCGCAAGAUUAAAACUCAAAGAAAUUGACGGGGCCCGCACAAGCGGAGGAGCAUGUGGCUCAAUUCGAUGCAACGCGAAGAACCUUACCAGGGCUUGACAUGUAGGUGCAUUCCCAGUGAAAGCUGGGGAGCCUUCGAGGGUCCUACACAGGUGCUGCAUGGCUGUCGUCAGUUCGUGCCGUGAGGUGUUGGGUUAAGUCCCGCAACGAACGCAACCCUUGUGUCUAGUUGCUAGUUCCGAUGAUGAGUCGGGGCGCACUCUAGACAGACUGCCUGUGCAAGCAGGAGGAAGGUGGGGAUGACGUCAAGUCAGUAUGGCCUUUAUGCCCUGGGCUGCACACGUGCUACAAUGGCCGGUACAGAAGGAAGCGAAACCGCGAGGUGGAGCAAAUCCCCAAAACCGGCCCCAGUUCAGAUUGAAGUCUGCAACUCGACUUCAUGAAGCCGGAUCCGCUAGUAACGGCGCAUCAGCUACGGCGCCGUGAAUACGUUCCCGGGCCUUGUACACACCGCCCGUCACAUCAUGAAAGCCGUCUGGAUCCCGUAGUCACUGUACCAACCCGCAAGGGAGGAAAGUGCCGAAGGUCUGGGGGGUGACUGGGAUGAAGUCGUAACAAGGUA
rnacentral:rRNA from 1 species